GAUGAACGCUGGCGGCGUGCCUAAUACAUGCCAGUCGAGCGAACGGACGAGAAGCUUGCUUCUCUGAUGUUAGCGGCGGACGGGUGAGUAACACGUGGAUAACCUACCUAUAAGACUGGGACAACUUCGGGAAACCGUAGCUAAUACCGGAUAAUAUUUUGAACCGCAUGGUUCAAAAGUGAAAGACGGUCUUGCUGUCACUUAUAGAUGGAUCCGCGCUGCAUUAGCUAGUUGGUAAGGUAACGGCUUACCAAGGCAACGAUGCAUAGCCGACCUGAGAGGGUGAUCGGCCACACUGGAACUGAGACACGGUCCAGACUCCUACGGGAGGCAGCAGUAGGGAAUCUUCCGCAAUGGGCGAAAGCCUGACGGAGCAACGCCGCGUGAGUGAUGAAGGUCUUCGGAUCGUAAAACUCUGUUAUUAGGGAAGAACAUAUGUGUAAGUAACUGUGCACAUCUUGACGGUACCUAAUCAGAAAGCCACGGCUAACUACGUG
rnacentral:rRNA from 1 species